GAUCAUUAGAAGAGAUCUGGAUCAUCAAUUGAAGCAUGAACUGCACAAUACUGAAAAUGGAAAACACCUCCCCCAGAGGUUGGUUGGUUGGUUUGAGUUGUUUUUUUGUUUUUGUUUUGUUUUGCUUUGCAUUUUAGUUGUGGCCUGAGAGGAAGGAGCAAAGCAGCCUGUUGUUCUAACUUGUCAUGAGUCUGGGCCAUGAAAAGCCAUGCGAGUCAUGUUAUAAAGAGAUGCAUCACUAUUUGAUUUGUGAUACAGAGAGCCUGAGGGAAAGCACAAUUGGGGCUAUUUCAGCUUCUAAAUUGAGAACAUUUCUGCUUCUGCCGGAAACCUCAUUAAGAGGUAUUUAAUAAAUAGUAACGGGAAUCAUGCAAACCAGCCAAAUUAUUUUCUGGUUCCGUCUGCAUUCCUCGUGCUUUCAUCUGUCCUCUUCCUGGAGGGUGAAGAUACCAUGGAAGUGGCUUGGCUGUGUAUGAGGUAUUACUGAGAAUCCUCACGACUCUUCCGUUUUUUGCCGCCUGUGUCCACAUAUGCCUGUUUCAGCACAGCAUCUCCAGAUUUUAGCGAAAUCUGCUCAACAUUUCCGAAUCCCUGUGAUGGAUCAGAGGCAUUCAGAUCUCUGCAAAGACAUCAGAGGAGGAAAAACAAAGACGUGUCUACGUUGGUGCGCACAGGCUGAUGCCCUGCUGACGUGUCCCACGUGACGACAGCCAGCAUCGUGUGUGCUCCCACAGCCCUGGCUCUUCCCACACUUCUGUCUCUCCCACUCAGGAAACCAUUUGCGGAUGCAAGGGAGUGAGUGGGUGUGGAUGUGAGGCCAUUAGAAGGAUUCCCUUGAAUCUGUUCUCCUUUAUAUUCAAAAGCAAAAGAUAAACCAGUUGUAAAUUUGGGGUUUAAAAAAAUUAGCCAUGCGUUACUUGCUACGUAUCUCAUACCUGAUCAAGACACAUCAAUGUGGCAUGACCUGUAAUUUUUUUUUUAAUUUUUUUAAAGCUUUUUAUUUAUUUAUUUGACAGAGAGA